UACGUAGGGACCAAGCGUUGUUCGGAUUUACUGGGCGUAAAGGGCGCGUAGGCGGCAUGACAAGUCACUUGUGAAAUCUCCGGGCUUAACUCGGAACGGCCAAGUGAUACUGUCACGCUAGAGUGCGGAAGGGGCAAUCAGAAUUCUUGGUGUAGCGGUGAAAUGCGUAGAUAUCAAGAGGAAUACCUGAGGUGAAGACGGGUUGCUAGGCCGACACUGACGCUGAAGCGCGAAAGCCAGGGGAGCAAACGGG
rnacentral:rRNA from 1 species